ensembl:lncRNA AABR07021503.1
CUAGGGGCAUGGUGCCUGCCAACGGUGACAAAUGAGGACUUGGCACAGAGCAGUGAGCAAGCGGUGGCUGUGAGGCUUCUGUUCCUAAGGUUUAUAUCCUGAAGUUGAGUCCAGAGUUCCCGGUGUUUACAGCGUUCCUAAACCAUGUGUUUACAGAAAUCCUCUGAUUGAUUUGCUGUGAAGUUCUUCAUUUGGUGACUAAUGCAGAUGUACCGGAUGAGCCUGGCAAAAUCUCUGACCCUUUCUGGUCUUCUCUAUUGUUUCUCACAUGAACAGUCCCACGGAUGCCACUAGAGGAUGAAGGCUCUUAUUCUGGAUAUCAGUCCACUGUUGGAGCUCCACUGAAAUGGUGCACGCUAAGACCUUCAGUGCUCCUAACAGUCCAAUCCAGUGACGCAGCAGAGAACAUCUUUCACUCGUUGCCUUUCUCAACAUUCCCGGCAGUUUGGAAUUGUCGACGUGCCUAUUUUUGCAACCACAACCUCUUUGGGUUUACGGAGCACUGCUUCCUUUCAGUUCUCCGUAUCCAUCCGCCACUUGCUUCCUCCAGCUCUCAGGGUAUCCAU